UACGUAGGGGCCUAGCGUUGUCCGGAUUUAUUGGGCGUAAAGAGCUCGUAGGCGGUUUGGUGAGUCGGGUGUGAAAUCUCCACGCUCAACGUGGAGGAGCCACCCGAUACUGCCAUGACUAGAGUCCGGUAGGGGAGUGUGGAAUUCCCGGUGUAGCGGUGAAAUGCGCAGAUAUCGGGAGGAACACCAGUAGCGAAGGCGACGCUCUGGGCCGGUACUGACGCUGAGGAGCGAAAGCGUGGGGAGCAAACAGG
rnacentral:rRNA from 1 species